GGGAGGGCUGGGAGGCUCUGCUGCGGCGCCUGGGGGGUUUUGACUCGCUGCCCACUUUUAUUCCCAGCAAAUUAAUAAUUUCCUCUGGCGGCAGCAGUGCCAGGCUGGGUGCCUGCCCGCGCACGCGUGCCGCCGGCUCCCGCUGCCCUCCCAGCCCUGGCCGCCCCCCUCUCCCGCCACGCACGGAGGGUCCGUGCUGCUCCUCAUCCUCGGCUGGGCUCCUUCCAGCUGUGUGCUACCAUCAGCUUCAGCCCAGCUGUGACAGCCGCGGCCUCGGGAGCACCCCGGCGGGAGUGCCAGGCCCGGCUGUGAACUGAUGAUGUGAGUGCUAGAGACGGUGGAGGAACACGCUGGGUGGUGAGGAGGGCAAGCUCAGCCCUGGGAAGGAGCUCCGGGCUUCACAGCCAGCCUGGCACAGCGCUGGGUGAGGCAGGAAAGUGAGCAGGCAAACGGGCACAGGGAGCAGCCACCGGGGCACGCUUGCCUGCGUGCUGGCGCUGGAGGUGCAGGGCAGCAGGACAAACCCAGCGUGCUGCAGGGCACCAGCGGGCACCACAGUGCCUGGGAUCUAAUCUCGUGGUAGCACAAGUCAGCCACGAGUGCUGCCACAGCUGGACGUGCUCGCAGCAGCCUGGGCACACGCUGCAGUAGCCUGCGAGUGGCAACACCUCCCUGCGUGCCACUGCUGUGCUGUGUGCCACACAGGGUGCAGGCACGGGUGCCUCUCCCUUAUGUGGGCACACUGUGGCACCAGGAGAUCUCAGGGCAUCGAGUUUUAAACUAGAGCAGGGUAGAUGUAGGUUGGACAUUAGGAAGAAGCUCUUUGCAAUGUGGGUUGUGGGACACUGGCACAGGUUGCCCAAAGAGGUGGUGGAGACCUCAUCGCUGGAGACAUUCAAGGCCAGGCUUGAUGGGGUUCUGAGCAACCUGCUCCAGCUGGGAACGUCCCCGCUUGCUGCAGAGGGUUGGACUAGGUGACCUUUAAAGGUCCCUUCCAAACCAUUCCCUGGUGAUCCUCUUGAUUUCUGGGAACCCAAGCCCGUUCCUCUGGCCGCAUUGUGCUUUGUUCCUUAUUUAUAUCCCCGGGGUGGUGCCACAGGUGGGCAAUUGUUCCAGCUGACAGGCUGAAAAGCAAAGAAACAAGAUUUAACUUCCUGCUAUUCAAUUAGAGAAAGUGAGCAUUCAUCACCAGCUGCUGGCUGCUGGCAGGCACAGACCCACCCGCCGCGGCGGGCGCAGCAAAAGCUCUCCUCGGCAGGAAAGCUGCCUGCUGCCGUGGGCACCGUGGAUCCGGCUGCCAGUGCUGCUCCGAAGUAGCUUCGAGUCCUCCUGUCUGCAGAGGGGCUCGGGUUAUCUUCCAAGCUGGUUGUGAUCAACGGGGACGCAGUUGGAAGCCGUUUCGUGUCACUGCACCAAGCCACACGCACACGUAUCUGCCCAGAUGCCUCCACGCACGCCGGCUGCCGUGCCAGACCUCGCAGCAGCCUCCCUGUGCCCUGUUAGAGAAGAAGGGCACCCCGCUGGGCCAGGGCUGAGCCGAGAGCUGCACCUCGCACGAACAUGGGUUAUUCACUCCAGACAAGGAAGGUGACACUCCGCAGCCAAGGCAAUCAACAGCAAUUAGCCCUUUUGGGGAGCUCGACAUGAAACGCUGCAGAGGCUUUGCUUGUGCGUGCCGGGGGCGCUUCCUCCGCUCCUUCGGGAGCGAUGGGAGCUGGACAGCCCAAACCGAACUGGUCCUGUCCGAGCACAACUUGGUGUCAUUUCCAGGAGGCUGGGAGGGCUUAGGGGUGGGGGCAGGGGGGGAUGUCUGUGGAUGUUAAAGGCACUUGUGUGCCCGGGCAGCCAAGGCGCAUGCUGUCAUUACCUCUGCAAUGCCAUCUGGCCGGCAGCGACGCAGCUAGGACCAGGGGCUGUGAGCGGGAGAACAUUUUACAACAGAAAGCAAUUAACUGAAGAAAGCCCUUUUUAAAAUGCAGUAAUUAAAAGCAGUCCCUCCCCCUUGUUUUCCUUUUAAGCCGAAAGUUGCUGUUUACUCAUUUGCUUUACAAAGUGUGCCUUGUUGUGGCUUCAGAAGAAAUGAAAGUUUGAAGUGGUUAGAGAAGAAAGGCUCUGGGGCUGCUGCGUUCCAGGCAGGGCGGAGGGGCAGGGGCUCUCCAGCCUGGCUUGUUUGUAUUUGUUCUUGUCUACUCACAAGAUCGCUAAACACACAUUUAACAAGUGGUGAAACUGUCUACCGGCCUGAUCUCUCCCAGGGUUCAUGAGAA